rnacentral:rRNA from 1 species
UACGAAGGGGGCUAGCGUUGCUCGGAAUCACUGGGCGUAAAGCGCACGUAGGCGGAUUGUUAAGUCAGGGGUGAAAUCCUGGAGCUCAACUCCAGAACUGCCUUUGAUACUGGCGAUCUUGAGUCCGGGAGAGGUGAGUGGAACUGCGAGUGUAGAGGUGAAAUUCGUAGAUAUUCGCAAGAACACCAGUGGCGAAGGCGGCUCACUGGCCCGGUACUGACGCUGAGGUGCGAAAGCGUGGGGAGCCAAACAGGG